GGGGCAAUAAGAAGGCAGGCUCCGGCUCCAGAUUGCCCUGGGCUGGCAGCGCUGUAGUAUGACCCAGUCGGUGAUAGUACAGGUCGGCCAGUGCGGAAACCAGAUCGGCUGCUGCUUCUGGGACCUGGCGCUGAGGGAGCACGCCGCGGUCAACCAGAAAGGAAUUUAUGAUGAGGCACUAAGCAGCUUCUUUAGAAAUGUGGAUACCAGAGUGGUUGGUGAUGGUGGCAGUAUUUCCAAGGGGAAAAUUUGUUCUUUAAAAGCACGAGCUGUCUUGAUUGACAUGGAGGAAGGGGUAGUAAAUGAAAUUCUGCAGGGACCAUUGAGGGAUGUAUUUGAUAGCAAGCAGCUCAUCACAGAUAUUUCUGGCUCGGGGAAUAAUUGGGCCGUGGGUCACAAAGUUUUUGGCAGUCGUUAUCAAGAACAGAUUUUAGAGAAACUGAGAAAGUCAGCAGAGCACUGUGAUAGUUUGCAGUGUUUUUUUAUAAUACAUUCCAUGGGAGGAGGAACAGGAUCUGGACUUGGCACAUAUCUUUUAAAGGUGCUUGAGGAUGAAUUCCCAGAAGUAUACAGAUUUGUGACUUCAAUUUAUCCUUCGGGUGAGGAUGAUGUCAUAACCUCACCUUAUAAUAGCAUCUUGGCAAUGAAGGAACUUAAUGAGCAUGCAGACUGUGUGUUGCCCAUUGACAACCAAUCUUUAUUUGACAUCAUUAGCAAAAUUGACCUCAUGGUGAAUUCUGGAAAGUUGGGUACAACUAUAAAGCCCAAGAGUCUGGUUACUUCAAGUGCUGGGACUUUUAAAAAGCGGCAGAAGCCCUUUGAUGCAAUGAACAACAUUGUGGCAAAUUUGCUGCUCAACCUAACAAGCUCUGCAAGGUUUGAAGGAUCCCUUAAUAUGGACCUUAAUGAAAUCAGCAUGAAUUUAGUUCCUUUUCCUCAACUGCAUUAUCUUGUGUCAAGCUUAACACCUCUGUAUACACUGGCAGAUGUUAACAUUCCUCCUCGAAGGUUGGAUCAGAUGUUUUCAGAUGCCUUUAGUAAAGAUCACCAGCUAAUUCGAGCUGACCCCAAACAUAGUCUCUACCUCGCCUGUGCCCUCAUGGUUAGAGGAAAUGUACAGAUUUCAGAUCUUCGCAGAAAUAUUGAAAGAUUGAAACCUUCUCUACAGUUUGUCUCGUGGAAUCAAGAAGGCUGGAAGACCAGCCUGUGUUCAGUACCUCCUGUGGGCCAUUCUCAUUCAUUAUUAGCUUUAGCAAAUAACACAUGCGUGAAGCCUACCUUCAUGGAACUGAGAGAGAGAUUCAUGAGGCUCUACAAGAAAAAGGCUCAUCUUCAUCACUAUCUACAAAUUGAAGGGAUGGAGGAAAGCUGUUUCACAGAAGCUGAGUCAUCUUUAUCAGCACUCAUACAGGAAUAUAACCAACUGGAUGCCACAAAAAGCAUGCCUGUGGAAGAUUUACCAAGACUAAGCAUAGCUGUGUAAAAAAGAAACCCAGAAAAUACAACUUUUGCUUUUUCUUAAUUUCACAUUGCUUUUUGUCACCUUACCUUUCUGUUUCAGAGUUUUUGUGAUUCAGAAAGCCCAGUUUGUGUUUUUCUUAUUAGGAAGUAUUUUUGUCUAAAAGGAUGGUUUCCAUUUAAUCACAAUUUGUUGAGGAUACCAGUGUGUGAAAUUAGUGAAGUACUAGUGCCUUAACUUCAAACAUUUGUCUUCAGAAAUUUCCCCUGUUUGAAAAUUGGUAGAACAGAGUUCUUCAACAUUUUACUUUACUUAUAGUCUCAUAUUUAGGCAUUUAUACAAUGAUAAUCGUGUCUUCAGUAAAAAUCUUGUACAGAUAUAUUGUUAUAUUUAUUUAUAAUUUAUGUUUUCAUAUUCUGUUUAAAUUCUCCUGAUUCUUUAAAAGAUCUCAAGCUCAGAAAAUAUAUCCCCUGGAUCUCUGCAGUUUCUCUGACAUACACAAGAUGUAAUCCACAGCAUCCUCCAUUUAAAUGACCCUUCAUUUGGGCAAUCAAAUUGAACGUGUUAUUACUGUAGGAUCUUGCAAUUGCAGACAGAACUGAGGGACAGGAAGCAGAAACAUGAAGAUACCUGGAAGGUAGACAACAGUUAUAAGACCUCAACACAGGAAGCAGAUUAAAAGCCUGGCACACAUCUGCAAUAAAUAAAGAUACUCAGAAUGUCCCUGCCUGAGGCAGCCACUGAGAGGGCACACCCAAACUGAGUCGCACACUGACCACCAAUCAGGAAAGAGUUGCCCUGAGUUAACAUUUGUUGCCAAUCUUCCUCUUUUUUAUUCCCCCCUCCUCUCCAAAGCCCCAAUGGUUGUAUAUCCUUGUUGUAAGUCCUUCUAGUUCUUCUAUUUGAGCCCCUGCCACAGCAUGGCUACUGAUAGACAAGUGGUGUGGUUCCGCGACUGGGAAAUAAACCCAGGUGGCCAAAGCAGUGAGAGCACCAAACUUUAACCACUAGACCAUCAGGGCUGGCUCAAAAUGCAUGUCUUUUUAAUAUUCUGUGUCACAAAAUAGGAAGUAUACAUUGAGCAUUUCUGUGAACCAAAGCACAACAGUUAUCUGGAGGAAAAUCGCCUAUGCUAUUGUUUGAGUUGUGGGCUGAACUAGCCACUUUUUUAGUGGGAAUUUCACCUGAAAGAAUGACUGACGAAUAAACCGUGGUUAUUCAGACUUGAGUAUUUGGUAGACAUUUUCUCGAAAAUGAACAAUGUGAGCUUGUCACUUUAAGAAAAACAGCUGACAGUAUUUGUUGCCAAUGAUAGAAUUCAAGCUUUCGAGCAAAAAUUAGAAUUUUGGAAAACUGUAUCUACCACUGAGAUCUUUAUAGCUACCCAAUAUGUAGACUUUUCUGAUGAGAUUGGUAUUAGUGUGAUUUUUUUAAUAUUACAUAAUUGUGUAUCAACAUUUGAAACAUCUAUAUAACCCAUUUUUUCAAACUGUUAUUUUCCAAAUAACCAAUGGAUGGUAUUACAAAAUUAUGCAUGAGUAGAAGACAUAUUCCAAGUGGGUCUUGGAUAGAUAAGUGUGUUUUAAUGUCACAGUUGGACAAGUUCAUUGAUGUAGUUUCAGAUUCCAUGAUGCAGCUAUUUUUAAGAAACUACCACUUCUCAAGUUUUAAUAUAAUAUCAAAAAAAGAAUAUUCACAAUUAUCUGAAAAGCCUGUUAAAACAUUCCUUCCUCUUCCAACUAUGUAUCUGUGUGAGGCUGGAUUUCCUUCAGAUAUUUCAACCAAAACAACAUGAUUGAAAGCAGAAGGAGAUGUGAGAAUCUAGCUAUCUUCUGUUAAGAUAGACAUUAGAGAGAUCUGCAGAAAUGUAAAAUAAUUCCACUCUUCUCACUAAAUUUUCCUUUGUUUUAGAAAAUGAGAUUUUUUUCGUAAAAACAUAUUAUUCCUAUUAAUUUACAAUGGGUUUGUUGUUAUUUUUAAAUGAAUUACCAAAUAUUUUAAAAUUUCUAAUCCACUAAAUAUCUUAGAGAUAACCCACAUAAACAAAAGGUCUUUAGGUCCUCACUAAUUUCUAAGACUAAAGGGGUCCUCAGACCAAAAAGCUUAAAAAACUGUUGUUCUAGAUCAAGAAUCAGCAAAUUUUCUGUAAAGAGCCAAACAGUAAAUAUCUUAGCCUUUACAAGCCAUAGUAUAUAGUACAGUCUCUGUGGAAACUACUGGACUCUGCUAUUGUAAUGCACCCAUAGACUAUAUGUAACUGAAUGGGCAUGGCUGUGUUCCAAUAGAACUGUAUUUACAGAAACAAGCUGUGGAUCAGAUUUGACCCCUGGGCUAUAUAGUUUGUGACCCCAGGUAUAGAUUAUUCCCCACCCCCAUCCUCAUAGCUAUGCUCUCUUAAAAUACUCAUCACUUUGUAUGUGAAAUUACUCGUGGAGAGAUCUGUCUGACACAAGAAACUGACUCUGUGAGGGGAGGGUCUGUAUCUUUUUCUUUC